UUCUCAUUUUCGCUUAGUGCAAGUUGGUUGUAAGAGGUUGACCCACACGCCUUACCGCUGCCGUCAAGGAUCAAUUAAGCAAAAUGAUAACCAGCAGUAUGAUAGCUCUGUGGCUGAUGACUUUCAAGUAAAUGAUGAACACAAGCAAACAGACGUUGAUAUUGAGCUAGAGAAUCUUAUAUUUGAAUGCAGAGGACUUUUGGCUUCAGAGAAAGAGGAUGCCAAGAAAUGGUCUGAUCGCAUGGAAGAGCUUCAUUCUCUUUGGGAAAAUAAUAGA